GUAAUCUUUUCUCAUUCUCUACAAGUUCAUUUACAGAUUCUUGUAAAAUAAGUAAUCGACGUAAAUUAAAAUCAAGAGAGUCAAUG
rnacentral:tRNA from 1 species